GAAGUGCGAUAAGCAGUGCGAAUUGCAGAACCGUGAGUCAUCAGAUUUUUGAACGCAACUGGCGCCGGCUGGGUCUCCAGUCGGCAUGCUUGUUUCAGUGUCUUGUUCUCUCCUCACCCAAACCAUAAUGCUGGAGAUACUCUUCUCUUGCUAAGCACGAAAGCACUCUGUGCUCUGCAGGCGGCUUCGGUCGCACUCAAUGCAGCAGUCACAUUGUUCACAAUGUGAACUCAUUGAGAGUAGAGACAGCGCAGUCUAACUGCCAGUGUUUCGAUUAAACUAACUUGCAUUGCAUCUGAAAUCAAGCAGGACCACCCGCUGAACUUAA
rnacentral:misc_RNA from 1 species